CUGUUGUGAUCCCUACAGGCCAAGACGUCCAGAGUUUCACAGCUAAAAACAACAGUGGGACUCUGGCCACCUUCUCGCUUCCUCCACGGAUGACCUACCCAGUCCAGAUCCCUGCAGGGGUCACAAUGCAGACAGCCUCUGGCCAGCUUUACAAGGUCAACAUCCCAGUGAUGGUGUCCCAGGCUCCAGCCGGCCACAGCCCUCUCCCCUCAGCUCCAGAAGGGGGUACCUGUAGUGGAGCAGAGCGAUCCCAGCUCAGCUUCCCAGCAGUCAGCUAUGGUGGUCCCUUCUACUGUCCUCAAGACCAUGACCCCUCCGAAGACAGAACCGUUCUCCCCACGGACUGUGGCCCCUCCCACAGCUCUACCUCAGACACCAGAGCAGAAGACCCUGAUACGUCCAGUCCAGUUGAUGCCUCCGGUCCAGCCACCUGAUGAGAAGCCCGUGCUACCCAAACCCAUGGUCCAGCCCCCAGUUCAGGAGAACCAUCUCCUUCAGCAGCCACAGGUUCCUUUAGCUCAAGCACGCUUUUCUGUACAGACUCCAGUGUCCUUUUAUUUCCCGUCCCAACCGCCAUCUCACCCCCCAGAGAGCCCUUUUGACAGUGGUGAUUUCAAUCUGGAUGGGAUUGACUUCGACAGUCCACAGCCACAGCAGCUAGACAUGAGCCUGUCCUCAUCCCUCUCCUCUGGCUCCGCCCAGAUGCCAAAGCCUUCAGGCAAAGUCUUAUAAAAAAGAUGGUGAACAGGAGGACAACACACCUGAGCAGGAUAUAACAGACCUGGAGGGUCUACCUGUGUAUGCUACCAAGCUGGAGAUGACCCUGUUGAAAGACUACAACUUCAACGAUGCUCUGGCAGACAUCAUCCACCUGAACAGCAGUUCUGAUGUGGAGGAGUUGGAGGAGGUGAUGGAAGGAGGUGUGUAGCAUUGUGUCAACAAUAGUUGUGCUAGCCAAAGGAAGUGUUUGCCUUGUUAGCUAACGGUUGCUGCGCCAUUCUCAUAAGAAGCUUGCUGAUGCAUGAACAAGCUAACGAGUGUGGUUACAGCAAAGAUGGUGGAUAAAUGAAGAUGUCCCUCUCAGGCCAUUUACCAUUGAAAAUGGUCAAUUCCGGUCUGAACAGGGUGGCUCUCACUUAGGCAACAAUGCAUUAGCAGCUGGGUCUGGUCUGCUUAGUUCAUCGACUGUAUAUGAACCAUAAAAAAAUGAGAGAGUGGGAUGUCUCGCUUCCUCUUCCGUCUGUGUUUACAGGUGCAAUGGGAGAGAAUGAGUUUCUAGGUAUGAUCACUGCGGAGGCUCUGCAGGCCCUACAGGAGGCAGAGGGCAGCAGCGAUGAUGGCAACUCCAGCUCCAGUGGUGACGGUGUCUGGAUGGAUGACUUCCCAGUGGAAGAGAAGCAGAUACCCACGUGCCAUCUCCUCAUUGGUUAUAACCACGUGGGUGAUUGAAAGAUGAACUGAGGUUGGUCGGUCAUGGUAAUCCACCUAUGAAAGUUAGAUGCCAAUCGCCAUAUCAAGUUCAAAGAAGAAAAGGCCUGGAAGGAGGAGAGAUGACUUGAAACGAUUCGGUUGACCGUUUUAUGUGUGGAUUAAUUAUCGGAGUAGAGGACAUUGUGCAUUUCAGAUUCACCUCAUUAAGAACUGGUGGAAGUUCUAUCUGAAGGAUGGGGUGAUGUGUUACGGAGGGGAGGACUGUCUUCUCAAAGGCUGUUGAGGAGGCAGAGUGGUGACUGGAUUCAUGUUAUGUUCCACUGCAAUGCCAAUACAGAUCCUAAGUAGCAUGCUAGUGUGAAUAUCAGAACAGAACCUUGGUCUGUAUUUCACCCAUGUGGAUACAGCCUUGACUUAGUCUUAAAUGUGUCCAACGAGGUGUAUAAUACAAGUGUGUAAAACAAUAAUAUUAUCAUUUUGAAGUUAUUGGGGAAAACCAGUUGUUCAGUGAGCUAGAAAAAACAUUUUGGAAUCUAUACAGACUUCUGUGAAGGAAAUGUCUGGAUGAGAAGUAAUGUGUCUGGCCCAAAUCACACCCUAUAUACUGCACUACUUUUGAUCAGGCUCCAUAGGGCUCUGGUCAAAAGUAGUGCACUAUAUGGUGCAUAGGGUACCAUUUGGGAUGCUCACUAUCUAAUUCAGCCACCACAGUGCAGUAAUGGCUUUCUGAUUUGUUGAUUUCAUCCUUUAUUUAACUAUUUAAAAUGUUUCUCUUAUUUAUGUUAUGUAAUGCCGUUAAUGAGCACAUUUGCCAAGUAGGUCCAAACGGAGCUUAGUAAUUUUUAAUGAUGCUCUGUUUGUUUAUAUGUACCAAAUUCAUUCAUAUUAAGAGAUACAUCAUGUGAUUUUCUGUUCUGAGCAAUGUUACAAAACAAUGUAUACAGUAUGCCACAAAAUGUUUUUCUUUCUGCCAUGGUGGUCUUUUCUGAGUCCUUGGUAGUGACUGAAAUGUGAAUUCAAAUACCUCUUAUUUUUUCACUGUCAAUAAAAUAUAAGCA
rnacentral:lncRNA from 1 species